rnacentral:rRNA from 1 species
UACGGAGGAUCCGAGCGUUAUCCGGAUUUAUUGGGUUUAAAGGGAGCGUAGGUGGAUUGUUAAGUCAGUUGUGAAAGUUUGCGGCUCAACCGUAAAAUUGCAGUUGAAACUGGCAGUCUUGAGUACAGUAGAGGUGGGCGGAAUUCGUGGUGUAGCGGUGGAAUGCUUAGAUAUCACGAAGAACUCCGAUUGCGAAGGCAGCUCACUAGACUGCAACUGACACUGAUGCUCGAAAGUGUGGGUAUCAAACAGG